GCCUUUGUGGUUUAGUGGUCCGCACGUUCGACGCGUAACCGAGAGGUCAGUGGUUCGAUUCCCUGCGAAGGCG
rnacentral:tRNA from 1 species